rnacentral:tRNA from 1 species
GGGGUUGUGGCUCAGUGGUAGAGCACUUGCCUGGCAUGUAUGAGGCACUGGGUUCCAACCUCAGCAGCACAU